GAGUAAAAGAAGAAGCACCCGCUUCUCACCUGAUUGACGCAGUAUGCUGUCGAUAGGUCAUGAUUUGAUUAUUUGGAUUUAUUCUACUUAGUCUAUCAGUGUGGGUGUUAUUGCAUCCGCACUUUUUUGUUUGU
rfam:Bacillus sp. FJAT-27997 Scaffold1, whole genome shotgun sequence.